rnacentral:lncRNA from 1 species
UUAUCAUGAAUGAAUGUUCGAUUUUGUCAAAUGAUUUUUCUGCAUCCAUUGAUAUGAUCAUGUGAAUUUUCAUUUUUAGCCUGUUGAUGUGAUGGAUUACAUUAAUUGAUUUUUGAAUGUUGAGCCAAUCUUGCAUACCUGGGAUAAAUCCUGUUUGGCUGUGGCAUAUAAGUCUUUUUACACAUUAUUGAAUUCUAUUUGCUAAUAUGUUGU